CCUACGGGAGGCAGCAGUGAGGAAUAUUGGUCAAUGCACGAGAGUCUGAACCAGCCAAGUAGCGUGAAGGAUGACUGCCCUAUGGGUUGUAAACUUCUUUUAUAUGGGAAUAAAAUGUUCCACGUGUGGGAUUUUGUAUGUACCAUAUGAAUAAGGACCGGCCAACUCCGCGCCAGCAGCCGCGGUAAUACGGAGGAUCCGAGCGUUAUCCGGAUUUAUUGGGUUUAAAGGGAGCGUAGGUGGAGUGUUAAGUCAGUUGUGAAAGUUUGCGGCUCAACCGUAGAAUUGCAGUUGAAACUGGAAUUCUAGAGUACAAUAGAGGUGGGCGGAAUUCGUGGUGUAGCGGUGAAAUGCGUAGAUAUCACGAAGAACACCGAUUGCGAAGGCAGCAAACUGGACUGCAACUGACGCUGAGGCGCGAAAGUGUGGGUAGCAAACAGGAUUAGAUACCCCAGUAGUC
rnacentral:rRNA from 1 species